rnacentral:rRNA from 1 species
UACCCUUAGGUCGAGUAUACCCUCGGGAAACUGAGGCUAAAACUCGAUGGAAGAUAUGCCCUGGAAUGACUUAUCUUCAAAAUUCGGGCCUAAGGAUGAGGCUGCGGUGGAUUAGGUUGUUGGCGGGGUAAAUGCCCACCAAGCCAAUGAUCCAUAAGGGCUCUUAGCGGAGAGGCCCUGAGAGGGAAUCUGAGACACUAUUCCCAGCCCUACGGGGUGCAGCAGUUAGGAAUAAUCUACAAUGCGCGAAAGCGUGAUAGUUUGAAUCAGAGUGCGUUUCUAUGAAAUGCUUUUGCCAAGUCUAAAAAGCUUGGCGAAUAAGGACUGGGUAAGACGAGUGCCAGCCGCCGCGGUAAUACUCGCGGUCCAAGUCGCAGCCAUCUUUAUUGGGUCUAAAACAUCCGUAGCUUGCUUUUUAAGUUCCUUGUGAAAUCUUAUAUCUCAAAUAUAAGGCGGGCAAGGAAUACUGGAAAGCUAGAGAUUGGGAGACGUAAAGAGUACGUUUAAGGUAGCGGUAAAAUGUGUUAAUCUUAAACGGACUAACAAUAGCGAAGGCACUUUACGAGAACAGUUCUGACAGUAAGGGAUGAAGGCUAGGGGCGCAAAACGGAUUAGAUACCCGUGUAGUCCUGGCAGUAAACACUGCUCACUAAACAUCGGGACCUCUUCGAGAGGUUUCGGUGCUGCAGCGAAGGCGAAGAGUGAGCUACCUGGGAAGUAUAGUCGCAAGGCUGAAACUUAAAGGAAUUGGCGGGGGAGCAC